rnacentral:rRNA from 1 species
GAUGAACGCUAGCUACAGGCUUAACACAUGCAAGUCGAGGGGCAGCAUGGUCUUAGCUUGCUAAGGCUGAUGGCGACCGGCGCACGGGUGAGUAACACGUAUCCAACCUGCCGUCUACUCUUGGCCAGCCUUCUGAAAGGAAGAUUAAUCCAGGAUGGGAUCAUGAGUUCACAUGUCCGCAUGAUUAAAGGUAUUUUCCGGUAGACGAUGGGGAUGCGUUCCAUUAGAUAGUAGGCGGGGUAACGGCCCACCUAGUCAACGAUGGAUAGGGGUUCUGAGAGGAAGGUCCCCCACAUUGGAACUGAGACACGGUCCAAACUCCUACGGGAGGCAGCAGUGAGGAAUAUUGGUCAAUGGGCGAUGGCCUGAACCAGCCAAGUAGCGUGAAGGAUGACUGCCCUAUGGGUUGUAAACUUCUUUUAUAAAGGAAUAAAGUCGGGUAUGCAUACCCGUUUGCAUGUACUUUAUGAAUAAGGAUCGGCUAACUCCGUGCCAGCAGCCGCGGUAAUACGGAGGAUCCGAGCGUUAUCCGGAUUUAUUGGGUUUAAAGGGAGCGUAGAUGGAUGUUUAAGUCAGUUGUGAAAGUUUGCGGCUCAACCGUAAAAUUGCAGUUGAUACUGGAUGUCUUGAGUGCAGUUGAGGCAGGCGGAAUUCGUGGUGUAGCGGUGAAAUGCUUAGAUAUCACGAAGAACUCCGAUUGCGAAGGCAGCCUGCUAAGCUGCAACUGACAUUGAG